UUAUUUACAGCCUGCUGUGAUAAAUAUCACUUGAGAUAACAUAUCAGAAUGAUAGUGUUUUAUGCGAAGUAACAUGUUUUCACAAUAACAUCCCACGCAGCGGGAGACCCCACAAAACACCUUUUACUUUACAAAUUAACAUUUCAAAUUAUUACUUUUUCUGUGUGAAAAUUGUGCGUCGUGUUUUACUUAAUUACGUGUCUGAAGUUAUAAUUUGGUCUGAAAAAGAAGAUAAAUUAAUUAAUCUGCAUUUUUUAAUAAUAAAUAGCGAUGGCGCCUCGGCAGGACAUCGUAGCCCAGCCACAGCCGAUCAGAAUAGAGCAGGGUAGGCAGCCCCCACCUCCGCCGGCGCCGGGACGCCUCCAGCGACCCCCGCACGACAACCCUACCGUCUACAUAAACAGGCCCACGAAUAUACCUCGCAACAAUGUCAACACCAGUGAAAUCGCUCGCACGUAGGCAAACACUGUGAAUGAAAACAAAAUCGUAGAUACUUCUACUGGGUAUGUUAGUUUGUCUAUGACAUGUUGUUUUUUUAGAGAAGGGAUUAAUAAAUUAAAUAAAUAAGUCUAAAAGCCUUGUUUUCAAACAUUGUUAUAAGUUGCCGUAUUUUUCUAAUAAUAAGACUACGACUUUUGUUAUUAAAAUGAAAAACUAUUUCAAAGGAUUCAUAAGGCCGAAGUUUGGUUUUAUAAUAUACAAUAUUUAUUCAAAAGAUAAAGAUAAGUACCCACAAAUAAUCAUAAAUCAACAUGUUCUGAAUAACAAAUCAAUAUUUUCACCUAACAUGACUUGAAGUACAGCGCUAAGAAAAGUAAAACAGUUGACGAAAAUACGAUUUUGAUUGCGUCACAGGCCGUCCCUUUUAAUAGGGUGGGUAUUGAAACAAAUUUUGAAAUACUUAAGUAUAAAUUAAAUUACUAUUUGUGUAAGUAAUCGUAAUGUCUAAAAUUCUUAAAUUUCUAGAAAUAAAUGAACAUUUUAUUCUGUGGAAAAUUACGUAACUGUGUAAUUUGGUUUAUAAAAUUAUUUAAUACCUAUAUAAGUAGGUACCUACCCACAUUAAGCGAGAAAUUGUUUCUAGGUUAUAAUUUUUAGUAGUUAUAGGUUUAUAUAUAAACAUAGAAUUGCCUAUUUCACUUUCUGUAUAUACUAGAUAGAUUUUAGAGAUAUAAAUGUACCUACAUGUAAUAAAAAUAAUUAUAAAACAUUUAAUCAAUACCUA